UUGUUGGUAAGGUAAAAGCUUACCAAGGCUUCGAUCAGUAGCUGGUCUGAGAGGACGGCCAGCCACACUGGGACUGAGACACGGCCCAGACUCCUACGGGAGGCAGCAGUGGGGAAUUUUGGACAAUGGGGGCAACCCUGAUCCAGCCAUGCCGCGUGAGUGAAGAAGGCCUUCGGGUUGUAAAGCUCUUUCAGCCGGAACGAAACGGUUACGGUUAAUACCCGUGACUACUGACGGUACCGGAAGAAGAAGCACCGGCUAACUACGUGCCAGCAGCCGCGGUAAUACGUAGGGUGCGAGCGUUAAUCGGAAUUACUGGGCGUAAAGCGUGCGCAGGUGGUUUUGUAAGUCAGAUGUGAAAGCCCCGGGCUCAACCUGGGAACUGCGUUUGAAACUACAAGACUAGAGUGUGGCAGAGGGGGGUGGAAUUCCGCGUGUAGCAGUGAAAUGCGUAGAGAUGUGGAGGAACACCGAUGGCGAAGGCAGCCCCCUGGGUCAACACUGACGCUCAGGCACGAAAGCAUGGGGAGCAAACAGGAUUAGAUACCCUGGUAGUCCAUGCCCUAAACGAUGUCAACUAGUUGUCGGGCCUUUACGGGCUUGGUAACGUAGCUAACGCGUGAAGUUGACCGCCUGGGGAGUACGAUCGCAAGAUUAAAACUCAAAUGAAUUGACGGGGACCCGCACAAGCGGUGGAUUAUGUGGAUUAAUUCGAUGCAACGCGAAAAACCUUACCUACCCUUGACAUGUAUCGAAGCCCGCAGAAAAGCGGGGGUGCCCGAAAGGGAACGAUAACACAGGUGCUGCAUGGCUGUCGUCAGCUCGUGUCGUGAGAUGUUGGGUUGAGUCCCGCAACGAGCGCAACCCUUGUCAUUAAUUGCCAUCAUUUAGUUGGGCACUUUAAUGAGACUGCCGG
rnacentral:rRNA from 1 species